CUUUCACCUAAUAGAAAAAUAUAUCCCCCCUCCUCUUCCUUCCGUCGACCACCUCGCCUGUGACUAGCCGCGCCGCCCCACCUCCCUGCACGUAGCCUCCGCGGAGGCCUCUACCAGUUCCGGCGCUCCGCUCUCAUGCGCCGGCACGAAAGGACGUCGCGGUGGCCGAGGCGGCGGGCUGGCGGGUUUGGCUUUUCCUGCCGCACGCGCGCGGUGUAAUAGCUCGCUCCGGUGACCUCCGCCUCGGCUCUUGCUACUUAUCUAGAAGCUUCGAGGAGGUUCUACAGCUCCCCCCGCUGAGCUUCUCGUCUCUUUCCAGGUCAUUGAGAGCAGCACGCGCCGCGGAGCGCACUAAUUUUUCUGGAAUUCCGAGAAUCUCACACACGGGCUAGGCCUGGAGCUUCGUUUGUUUCCAGGCGAUUGGUGGAUUUGUUUGGGGAAUCCAGUGCCUCUUAUGCCCGAAUUUUGUUGGCGGAAUCGGUUGACCAGAGGAGCAAGGUUAGGGCAGUGACGGGAAGAGAGGCUGGUCGCGAUAACGUCCCUGUCGCGGAUGCUCUCCCUGGCCGGCCCGAUGCAGCCGUCGGGGCCUCGACGGAUUUUGAGGACGUAGACCGCCAUCAACCUCGGCGAGCCCAUCUUCGACAGUGAGGUGUUGCCGUCGUCGCUCGUGGAGAUCGCGCCCAUCCUCCGUGUCGCCAACAAGGUCGAGGCGGCCAACCCCCGCGCCGCCUACCUCUUUAAGCUACCAUUCCUCUCCUCUGCUUUUUUCAGCACUGCUACACGGAUACUGUCAGUCAACACAACACUCUGCUAAACUGUACUGCCUUCUUCUA